rnacentral:rRNA from 1 species
CACGUAGGCACCAAGCGUUGUCCGGAUUUAUUGGGCGUAAAGAGCUCGUAGGCGGUUCGGUAAGUCGGGUGUGAAAACUCUGGGCUCAACCCAGAGCCGCCACCCGAUACUGCUGUGACUUGAGUUCGGUAGGGGAGCGGAGAAUUCCUGGUGUAGCGGUGAAAUGCGCAGAUAUCAGGAGGAACACCAGUGGCGAAGGCGGCUUUCUGGUCCGAUUCUGACGCUGAGGCGCGAAAGCGUGGGGAGCGAUCCGG